UACGUAGGGUGCGAGCGUUAAUCGGAAUUCUGGGCGUAAAGCGUGCGCAGGCGGUUAUGCAAGACAGAUGUGAAAUCCCCGGGCUCAACCUGGGAACUGCAUUUGUGACUGCAUGGCUAGAGUGUGUCAGAGGGGGGGUAGAAUUCCACGUGUAGCAGUGAAAUGCGUAGAGAUGUGGAGGAAUACCGAUGGCGAAGGCAGCCCCCCUGGGAUAACACUGACGCUCAUGCACGAAAAGCGUGGGGAGCAAACAGG
rnacentral:rRNA from 1 species